rnacentral:misc_RNA from 1 species
GCACCAGAUUCAAGUUUGUCCUGUUCUCUAUCAAAUUAUUGGCUCCAAUAUCACACAUCCUUUAAUAACAAUGGCAAGGAUUACAAUAACCUUGCCCAGAAUUCCUAAUAUAUCUUAUCGCAACUACACAAAAUUUCAAGGUUAGACAUUGCGUCGGUGAUUCUGCAUAAAGCACCCGCGAAAAGUAUUCCAACACCCCCAUGCAAAGCACAAAGUCUUUGCAGAAUCCAGAAAGCACCCACUCA